UCAGUGCUGGCUCGUUUCCAUUCAAACACACACAGAACACUGAAAACUAAUUAGCCCUGGAUGCAGCCACAGGAAGUUAGCCUGCCAAGUCCCCUUUCCCCCACAAUUCCUCAACUUUCUCAGCUUGCCUCAGGCCAACGGCCUUGCACUGGGCCUCUCUGUGGAACCAAAGAGAACUUCACCAUCCUGUAAAACUUGAAAGUCCCUCCUCUCCAAGACUUUUCUUGAAGGUUAACAAAUUUUCCCGAGAGCCAGAGAACUACAGGUGUCAACCAUUUUCAAGCAUCUCAUUUCAAAGCAGAGCCCACCACAAUCCCAAUGUGAGAAGCCAGAAUCUGAUUAGAAGAAAGCAGUGGGCUGGAUGCCAAUCUACAGUGGGCAGAGCCAUGACACAUGCAACUUAACUAGAAAAUACCAGCGUGGCUGCAAAGUUCUGGAGGUCUAGAAACAUUCAGGUAUUUUCUUCUGGAUUCCUAUGCUCAAUUGUUGUCUGACAUUUAGCAAAAGUCACUUCAGCCCUUUUGACACCCCUUUCUAGGCUGGUGUUAACAGGCCAUAAAUUUUAUGUAGAGUACUUUGAGCUUUGUGGAUGAAAGGCACUAAAGUAAGUGACAACUGUUACCAAAUCUCAACAGGAAUGGGUGAAGAGGAAAAAGAAUUGGGUAACCAAACUCCACUUUUCAUUCUUCUGCGGCACAGAUAAGUGGGAACUGAUGGCUUUGUCAUAAUGUUGUCCCUCCAGGCCAGUGUCCAGAUCCCACCUGACUGUGAAAAGUCUUCAGAGGAAGACUUGAGGACCCUGUAGUACAAUGCAUGACAAAAGAGAAGAGUCUAAUUUGACCUUUUUCUGUCCUAUUUGGAUUUCCAGGAGUUAGAAAGUGUCUUAAUCCCUCAAGUACAAAAUGUUUGCUAUUGUUGCCUGUGACAAAUGUGGAUGUUCUUCAGAGCCACAUAAAUAUCUUGUCCUUUUCUGGUUUUGUUAGGUUUUGAGCUGUGACAGUUUCUUGGAGCAAUGAGUUCAACAGUGUAAUUGCAUGUUGUGUGAAUAAAAUCCUUUCUUCAUGGUG